rnacentral:rRNA from 1 species
GUGAAGCGGCAACAGCUCAAAUUUGAAAUCUGGCGCAAGCCCGAGUUGUAAUUUGUAGAGGAUGCUUCUAGGUAGCGACCGGUCUAAGUUCCUUGGAACAGGACGUCAUAGAGGGUGAGAAUCCCGUAUGUGACCGGCCCGCACCUUCUACGUAGCUCCUUCGACGAGUCGAGUUGUUUGGGAAUGCAGCUCUAAAUGGGAGGUAAAUUUCUUCUAAAGCUAAAUACCGGCCAGAGACCGAUAGCGCACAAGUAGAGUGAUCGAAAGAUGAAAAGCACUUUGGAAAGAGAGUUAAAAAGCACGUGAAAUUGUUGAAAGGGAAGCGCUUACAACCAGACUUCUGGGCGGUGUUCCGCCGGUCUUUUGACCGGUCUACUCGCCGUCCCGAGGCCAACAUCAUCUGGGACCGCUGGAUAAGACCUCAGGAAUGUAGCUCCCCUCGGGGAGUGUUAUAGCCUGUGGUGAUGCAGCGCGUCUCGGGUGAGGUCCGCGCUUCGGCAAGGAUGUUGGCGUAAUGGUUGUCAGCGGCCCGUCUUGAAACACGGACCAAGGAGUCUAACAUCUAUGCGAGUGUUCGGGUGUCAAACCCCUACGCGUAAUGAAAGUGAACGGAGGUGGGAAGGGCAACCUGCACCAUCGACCGAUCCUGAUGUCCUCGGAUGGAUUUGAGUAAGAGCAUAGCUGUUGGGACCCGAAAGAUGGUGAACUAUGCCUGAAUAGGGUGAAGCCAGAGGAAACUCUGGUGGAGGCUCGCAGCGGUUCUGACGUGCAAAUCGAUCGUCAAA